rnacentral:rRNA from 1 species
AUGGCGCUCGGCGAUAUUCCGCCGCUCUAUCAUGAUGACUGUGGCAUUGCGGAGUCGAACAUGUCAUUCCCGAUCCACCUUCGAUGAGUCGCCAGACAAGAAGUCACAAAGUUGCUGAACUAUGACAUGUACUAUUUUAGAGAUGUUCAAGAUUCGGCUUUGGGGUUAGGCUUGUUUUCUCAAUGGUUUGAUCAGAGUAGCUGCUGUUGGGAAAACCUAUUUGCUUGA